GUUUCAGAUCAGCCUCCAGCUCAGCUCGAAGGUCGGGCUUGGACAUCUCGUAGCCCAUGGAAUCAUAGCCUGAGGAGCAUAUUGCAGGGCCAGUGCAGUAACACAACAGCACCCUGUUCUGGAGGAGAUCAAGGCUCGGGGUGCUCAGGAUUUGCCAGUAACGAGCUGCCAGAGACACCGCGGAAUGGCAAUUGCAGCUCCUCUGGUUUGCGGGAAGCCAAUUUCUCAAGUUCCUG